CUUUAGGCAUCAAAAGGCUUUCAACGCAAGCUUGUAUAAUACCCUUUAGGUUUUUUCUCUUGCUUUUAAAUGGAUGCAUGGCAUUCAUUUGGUGCCUGCAAAGACCCUGUUUGCUGCUAUCAAGUGGGGAAACCAUCAACUGAAAACAGAUCUUUGUUCUUCGACCGUUUAAUUGAGGCUGCCUUAUCAGUUGUGGUGGAGGACGUGACCAAGAAAUCAAAGGAUCUGCACCCUUUCUUGAACUUCCCAAGGCACAAAAAGUGGCGAGUGGCCCAAAGGCCUCAGAGUUAAAAGCCAAGAUAGAAGCUGAGCAGCAUGCUCUACGCCGAAUGCGCAUGUGCCUCUUCAUGCAACAAGAAAUUUGCUUCUUCAUGCAACAAGAAAUUUUAAAUUUGGAUUGUUGGUUCACUUUGUAGCAUUAUUGAAAUGGUCUCAAUUUAGUCCAGCAAGUGGGUUCUAAUAAAAUGCAGUCGUCAUGGAGCAUAUUUCAA